CCGGAAGUGGCGGUGCUCCGCGGCGGCGCGCCGGGCCGGCCAGCGCAGGGCGCUGGCCAGGUGUGCAGUUCCCCAGGGCGGCGGCGCUGAGCGGCGGGCGCGGCUGGCCUAUUUUAUGCCACUGUUUGGCCAACGUUCAAGUACUAUGAGUAUAGUUUUCUCCAGAAACACCUUAUCAAAAGGAUCCAUUUAGUGUUGUUCUUGGUACUCCACACAGUACUUGGCACACAGUAGAGUCUUACUUAUAUAGCCCUGGUUAUCCUGGAACUCACUGUGUAGACCAAGCUGGCCCUGAACUCACAAAGAUCCAGGUGCCUCUGAGUCCUGGGAUUAAUGGUGAAGGCCAAUACCCCCAGGUUUAUUAACAGCUUAUGAAAGAUUAUGUUUCUACACUUUUAAAUGUAGCCUUUCAUUUCCCUAACAAGAUCGCUAGUAAUAACUUAUGCACAGUUUAUUUUUUCAUAAUGGCAUUCAAGUGGUUCUUCUGUUAAAGAUUAUGUUUCUAAAGAAUGGUAAAUCCUUAGAACAAGUAUUACCUUUGCAUUAUCUUUUAACUAGUUUGUUAAAACCUAAAAUUUCCCUUAUUUUUCUCCAACAUUUAAAGAAAAUUUAGAAUCAUCUUGUAAAUGUUGUCAUAGUAAAAGACACUUAGUGAAUAAAAUUUUUUGGGAUAGUUGUUUGUCGUUUGGUUUACUAAGGUAAUAAAUGGCUUAGGGAAGUUAAGCCUUUUAUUUGUGGCCUACUGUCAUAAAAAAGUUUUACUCUUUCCUAUAUUUUAAUGCAAAUCACCACAAAAUAAAACAUAAUUGCAGACUUUUCUGCAGCAGGCACCCAGGUUUCCCUGCUGAUCAGCUUCCAGGGUUGUGCUGCACUGGAUAAAGCAUUCCUGUGCAAUGAAUGUCCCCUGUCCUGUCCCGUUAUCCUGCUCAGAAACCCUGGGUUGGAUGGAAGUUCUAUUUGCAGCAGAGGCCUUCUUGCCUAUUCUUGCCUGAGUUUAAUCUCCUCUAUUUCUAGAGUCAGUAAUCCUUAGUUUAGAAUUAGACUGCAAGAGCUCACACAACUGUUUGGAGCAUGAAAGGUAGCAUGUGCUUUUGUAAAUUUACCAGUUUUCUCAAGGCAGGCAAACCAUAAAUCAUUUGUGUUUUUUCUUUAUAUCAACUCCAAAUCUUCCAGAAUUAUAAGGAAUCUUUUGCUUUGUCAUCCAAUGGAAAAUGAUCUAAUGCUCAAGUAAUCUACCAGAGAACUUUUGGAUAUAAAAAUGUUUUUAAUGUGUUUUCCAGACAUCUGUGACCUUUUGAAAUUGUACCCACCCCACUUGAUUUUUUUAGGCUCCCUAGAUUGGUUGAGUUGAGUAAUAGAAAUUAAUGAGCUAGAGUGAGUAUAUCUGGAGGAACUUUCUCUUGCAGUAAAUCAUUAUUGCUGUAAUAAAAACUACUUACAGAAAUCUAGUUCCCACAUAUUACAUGCUCUAGUUGGAAAGUGGUGUUAAUAAAAAGUUACAAGGAGCAUGAUUUUAAAAUGAUUUCAUUAGAAUCUGUGUAAAAAAAAAAACGAACAUAUUUUUGAUGUUUCUUUGAUCCAGGAGGUAAUGAGUGUAUAAACAAAUGGGUAUAAAGUUUUAUGUACAAUAUUUUAGUAUUUUAUUUGUUUUUUUCUGACUGUUUUCUCCCAGUGCUUACCAAUUAAUUUAAGCUGUACCAGCACUUCCCUGGACCUCUACAUAGAGUAGUAACAUAGCUGCCAGUGAUUUGACAUACUUAAAGAAACAAAAUUCUGAUUGACUCUGAUCUGUUUCUUUCAG
ensembl:lncRNA